rnacentral:misc_RNA from 1 species
CGCACAUUGCGCCCACCAGCAUUCUGGUGGGCAUGCCUGUUCGAGCGUCAUUUCAACCCUCACGCUUCGCGUGGUGUUGGGGCCUUGCGUCUCGCAAACCCCUAAAUCCAGUGGCGGACACGCCGUGUCUCCGAGCGCAGUAGUUUCUUCUCGCUUCGGGCGUCCGGCGUGGGCUUGCCUCGCACCCCUCUUUCUCAGGUUGACCUCGGAUCAGGUAGGAAUACCCGCUGAACUUAA